CACGGGGGGAGCAAGCGUUGUUCGGAAUCACUGGGCGUAAAGGGCGUGUAGGCGGUCAAGUAAGUGGAAUGUGAAAUCCCUCGGCUUACCCGAGGACCUGCAUCCCAAACUGCUUGGCUUGAGUACGGGAGAGGAUGAGGGAAUUCCUGGUGUAGCGGUGAAAUGCGUAGAUAUCAGGAGGAACACCGGUGGCGAAAGCGCUCAUCUGGCCCGAUACUGACGCUAAAGCGCGAAAGCUAGGGGAGCAAACGGG
rnacentral:rRNA from 1 species